UAGGGAAUCUUCCGCAAUGGACGAAAGUCUGACGGAGCAACGCCGCGUGAGUGAAGAAGGAUUUCGGUUCGUAAAACUCUGUUGUUAGGGAAGAAAAAAUGUAUAGUAACUAUAUACAAAAGAGACGGUACCUAACCAGAAAGCCACGGCUAACUACGUGCCAGCAGCCGCGGUAAUACGUAGGUGGCAAGCGUUGUCCGGACUUAUUGGGGGUAACGCGCGCGCAGGUGGGUUAGAAAGUCUGAUGUGAAAGCCCACGGCUCAACCGUGGAGGGUCAUUGGAAACUAAGAAACUUGAGGGCAGGAGAGAAAAGUGGAAGUCCUAGUGUAGCGGUGAAAGGCGUAGAGAUUAGGAGGAACACCGGUGGCGAAAGCGGCUUUGUGGCCUGCAACUGACACUGAGGAGCGAAAGCGUGGGGAGCAAACAGG
rnacentral:rRNA from 1 species